GUAAAUUUGGUGAAGUUCACGUCAUUAUUUCAUGAUGGAGAUAUAUUAGUCUUCUUUAUC
rnacentral:tRNA from 1 species